GUUCGAGCAGCUGGAGCAGAAAGCACAAAGUCCCUGAGGGGGAAUUUUCUUGGUGGUUCAAAGAACAGCUAGGAGGUCAGCAUAGGUGGAUCUGAGAGAACAAGGGAGAAUGUGUGGGGGACAAAAUCAGAUAAUAAAAGAUCCAAGCAGACAAUCUGCAUCAGCAAAACUUGUAAUCUCACCGUAAGAAGCAGGCUAAGCUGGACACUUCCGGUAUAGCCCCAGAGGUCACAGGAACAGGUGAGCAUCUCCGCAGCCCGCCUUAGACAGGCCUUUGUCUCUCCUUCCAACUGUGCCAGCAUCUCCCAAUAAGCCUCUCUGAGUCCAUUCAUCGCCCACACAACCACAGCAACCUGUGUGACUGCCACAAGUCCAGUGGCUCCCCAAAGAUCUGCACCGGAGAAUGAAAUCCCCACACCUGCAGGCUCAUCACAAUACGAAGCCAUCCCACGCUCUGAGCCUGCUCUGCUCCAUUCUUACGUAUGCUAAACUCUAAAGACACUAGUUUAUUUGCAAUGUCCAACCAGGCUACUCCUUCUCAAGUCUUCAGACACACAGCCCUCUCUGCUGUGAAACCCUCUCCUCACCUCCGAGACCCGCUCAUUAUUGUCUGCUGAAUUCUACUCAUUCUUCAGGGCUGACAUACAGACAACCCGCUGGGAAGCCUCCGCCAACCAUUUCUGAAAAAUUAGUCCCUCUUACCAUAGCACUUACCUACUCCCCCGCUUCUAUUCUAUUCUCUUCACCCAGCCUUUCUAGAUAGCCAAGUAUGUGCCAGUGUCCUGGACUAAGGUUGGAGCAGGUCGUCAGGAAAAGCAGCAGAGGAGGAACACCAUUUCAGUAGGAUCCUGAACGAUGACUAGAGACUCACUCGGUGAAUGAGAAAGGGCAGGACACGCCCAGGACACGCCCGGGAGGAAGCAGCAAGAGGACAGGCUUGGAGAUGGAAAUAUGAGGAAAUGAUUCCUCGUGGCUGCUGGAGAAGAGGGAAAUGAUAGUUCCAUGUGGAUGGGGAUUAUAGUGCAAGCAUUUGACAUGGAGGCUGACAAGAGAGAGAACGGCAGGAGAAUCAUGCCUGGAGAAAGAAUGGGAACGAGGUAUGUGAGCAUCAAGCCCACUCCAAACCAAGGGAGGGCAGGCGCUGCGAAGAGCUGCAUAUGCUCUAUCAUGCAUAUUGCAUGUCUCAUCUCCUUUCUCACGUUUUCUCUGAAGCAGUAAAGAGUAAUUCAAAAACUUUGAAUAUAGGAAUAACAUUUGUGACAACAACAACAUUCUGGACAUCUGCACUGUUAGAGUACUUAUAAUAAAGUCACAUGGCCAUGGGGAAAUUUCACAGAAUUACAAUCUCAGUAAUUUGCCAAGGUGUAUAACUAGUUUGUUUUCAGCUGUUCUUCUCAUGAAUAAUUAUCAAGCAGGAAUAUCCUAAAGCUAGCACAAGCUGUCACUUAACCAAAAUAUUC
rnacentral:lncRNA from 1 species